GGGAUUUUGGUUUUUUUUUUUUAACAUGUCAUAAAUGUGUCCAAGUAUCUUUUCCGGCUGCUUUGUGUCAAUUUCUGACGUCUACGUAGGAAGUUGACCGAUCACCAGACAACUUUGAUCGAUCAUCGAAUAAAUUUGAGACGAAAAUGAAACAUUAUGGAUUUAAAAGUCACUUUUUCAAAAUAUGUGCAAAAAUCAAAUGCC
rnacentral:lncRNA from 1 species